AUGAACGCUGGCGGCGUGCCUAAUACAUGCAAGUCGAGCGCACGGACGAGAAGCUUGCUUCUCUGAUGUUAGCGGCGGACGGGUGAGUAACACGUGGAUAACCUACCUAUAAGACUGGGAUAACUUCGGGAAACCGGAGCUAAUACCGGAUGAUAUUUUGAACCGCAUGGUUCAAAAGUGAAAGACGGUCUUGCUGUCACUUAUAGAUGGAUCCGCGCUGCAUUAGCUAGUUGGUAAGGUAACGGCUUACCAAGGCAACGAUGCAUAGCCGACCUGAGAGGGUGAUCGGCCACACUGGAACUGAGGCACGGUCCAGACUCCUACGGGAGGCAGCAGUAGGGAAUCUUCCGCAAUGGGCGAAAGCCUGACGGAGCAACGCCGCGUGAGUGAUGAAGGUCUUCGGAUCUUAAAACUCUGUUAUUAGGGAAGAACAUAUGUGUAAGUAACUGUGCACAUCUUGACGGUACCUAAUCAGAAAGCCACGGCUAACUACGUG
rnacentral:rRNA from 1 species